rnacentral:rRNA from 1 species
UACAGAGGGUGCGAGCGUUAAUCGGAUUUACUGGGCGUAAAGGGCGCGUAGGCGGCGUGACAAGUCACUUGUGAAAUCUCCGGGCUUAACCCGGAGCGGCCAAGUGAUACUGUCGUGCUAGAGUGCGGAAGGGGCUACUGGAAUUCUCGGUGUAGCGGUGAAAUGCGUAGAUAUCGAGAGGAACACCUGCGGCGAAGGCGGGUAGCUGGGCCGACACUGACGCUGAGGCGCGAAAGCCAGGGGAGCGAACGGG